CGCACAUUGCGCCCUUUGGCAUUCCGAGGGGCAUGCCCGUUCGAGCGUCAUUAAAUCCAAUCAAGCCCGGCUUGGUAUUGGGCAUCGGGUCCCCCCGUGCCUCAAUUUCACCGGCUGGCCGUCGCCCGUCUUAGCGUUGUGACUCACUUCUCGCUACCGAUGGGGCCGGACCACGCCGUCAGAACUCACGAAUUUCAAUCGAAAUUUGAUUAAGGUUGACCUCGGAUCGGGUAGGAAUACCCGCUGAACUUAA
rnacentral:misc_RNA from 1 species